rnacentral:lncRNA from 1 species
AUAGUAUCAAGUUCUUAAGCUCACUUCUCAUAGGAAAUUGAUCUCCAUCUCUUUAAUAUCAUUUUUCAUACUACGUUGAAAUUUAAAAAAAAAAUUGUCUAGUUCAACACAUGAUUGAUCCAAGGGCUUUAACCCUCACCCAAAAUAAAAGAUCUAUUUUUAAAUUUCAAAACAACAAAGAGCUGUAAGAGAGAGACAAAACAAAAUAAAAAGAAAGAUU